rnacentral:pre_miRNA from 17 species
CUCCGGUGCCUACUGAGCUGAUAUCAGUUCUCAUUUUACACUACAUAGGCUCAGUUCAGCAGGAACAGGAG